CAGUAGCCACGGGAAUACGAAGGGUGCAAGCGUUAAUCGGAAUUACUGGGCGUAAAGCGUGCGUAGGCGGUUUGUUAGGUCUGCUGUGAAAUCCCCGAGCUUAACUCGGGAACUGCAUUUGAAACUGGCAGGCUAGAGUCUCGUAGAGGGGGGUAGAAUUCCAGGUGUAGCGGUGAAAUGCGUAGAGAUCUGGAGGAAUACCGGUGGCGAAGGCGGCCCCCUGGACAAAGACUGACGCUCAGGUGCGAAAGCGUGGGGAGCAAACAGGAUUAGAUACCCGUGUAGUCCCUGUCUCUUAUAC
rnacentral:rRNA from 1 species